rnacentral:lncRNA from 1 species
UGGAGCCCGAGGACAAGGCUCCAGGCAGGUUUCUGGACACUUCAGCUUCCCAGGUAGCUCCUGCCUCAGCAUGGCUGCUCCCCCACCUGCAGAACUCGAGCAGAGCCUUAACGACCAUCUCUCCUCUUCUUUUGAGCCCACGCUGGACCUCAAGGCAGACAAAGCUACAUUACUUCCAGGCUCUGGAGUCAGUGACAUACCCCCAGAUGGGCAUGGAUGUGAGGAGGAGCUCGGCACAGGAGCAGGCGGUUCCAGACACGAUGGGGUUUGCAAACCUGAAGUGCCAGCAGCAGACAGUGCCCCAGCGGUGACAGAAGAACCAAACCCAACCGUGGAGGCACACAAGGACUCGGCUGGCAUGGACAGCAGCUACGACUUUUCGACCUCCAGCUUGGACAGCCGUUGUGAACCUGACCUGGUUCCGGUCACUGGAGACUCUCUCCCUGACAAAGGUCCCCAGUCGGAGGAUGGUGACCCCGGCUCCACAGCUUCCUUGCCCUGGCCAGAGUUGCCAGAUGAAUGUCCGCCUCGGCCUAACACCCUGGAUUUCUCCAACUCUCUCAAAUUCCUGGAGGAGGUGAAGCAGAUGGGGCAGAGGAGGAACAGUGACCACUUGAACAUCCAGGAGAAUGGGGUGGAGAGCUGCCCUGAGGCACCUCCCAUCAGUGAGGAGAGGAGGGCUCUGGAGUCGGAGCUGGGGAAGUGCAUCGAAGACUUCAGGAAGAUCAAGAUCCCCGUCUCCUUCCCCAACAAGAAGCGGCAGUGGCAAAGUGAACUACUGAAAAAAUACCACGUCUGAGGGGAGGGGCUGGGACUGACGCCUCCCACCACCCAGGACUGACUGGCUUCCACAGCCACAAGAGGCACCUUCCCCUGCAUCCUGUCCAUGAUGGGCCAGCCUGCCAGGUGCUGGGUGUCCUUGGCCCCCAUUGAUGGCCAGGAGCAGCUCAGCAUCUUGUAGGCCAAGAGGGACUUGUGAGAGCCUCUUACUUUAAACCAGUUAUUUGGCGACACUGGGACUAACUGAUUUGCAUCCUGUCUGAUCUCGUUGACUUUACCUAGGUCACUCAGGGGUAAUCGACAACAGGGUUUGGUCCAUGUAUUCAAAACUAAGAGCAGUGGUUUCUUGGUCAAUGCAUCAUUCCAGGAAUUGGUGCUCCACAGGCAGAGAUUAUAAGGCUACAGCUUGCUUGUUCCCAGGGGAGUCAAGGGUGAAAUGUGCAUGAAAGGAGCUGUACAAAUCCUAGAAGUGAAAAUAUUUGAAGGAGUCAGGAUGGGAAGGAGGAAACUGAUGUUGGUUCAGGUUGUCUGUAGGGACAAACCUACACCCAAGCAAUAUGGACAUUCCUGCCUUUAUGACAGCAUGACUGUGAUUGGAGCUCCCGGGGUUAAUAAAUGUAAACAAUGAUGAAACCUAAUUCCA